AGCUCCAAUAGCGUAUAUUAAAAUUGUUGCAGUUAAAAAGCUCGUAGUUGAACUUCUGGCUUGGCGCGCGCGGCCCGGGCCGUAAAGGUCUGUGUGCCGUUGUGCGCCUGCCAUCUUGCUGGAGCACGGCUGUGCCCUUCACUGGGUUGCAGUCGCGAUUCAGCUCUUUUACUUUGAAAAAAUUAGAGUGUUUAAAGCAGGCUUGCGCUAUGAAUACAUUAGCAUGGAAUAAUAAUUUAGGACUUCUGUUCUAUUU
rnacentral:rRNA from 1 species